rnacentral:rRNA from 1 species
UACAGAGGUCCCAAGCGUUGUUCGGAUUCACUGGGCGUAAAGGGUGCGUAGGUGGUGAGGUAAGUCGGAUGUGAAAUCUCCGAGCUCAACUCGGAAAUGGCAUUGGAAACUACCUUGCUAGAGGGUUGGAGGGGGGACUGGAAUGCUUGGUGUAGCAGUGAAAAUGCGUAGAUAUCAAGCGGAACACCAGUGGCGAAGGCGAGUCCCUGGACAACUCCUGACACUGAGGCACGAAAGCUAGGGGAGCAAACAGG